GGAUGAUAUGAUGAGGAAAUGUUUCCCUAUUGGUUUGAUUGCCGAGAUGAUGGCGUCGACCUUGUUAUUAGCUCUAUCUGAUCUUCC